AUUGAACGCUGGCGGCAUGCCUUACACAUGCAAGUCGAACGGCAGCACGGGUGCUUGCACCCGGUGGCGAGUGGCGAACGGGUGAGUAAUACAUCGGAACAUGUCCUGUAGUGGGGGAUAGCCCGGCGAAAGCCGGAUUAAUACCGUAUACGAUCUACGGAUGAAAGCGGGGGACCUUCGGGCCUCGCGCUAUAGGGUUGGCCGAUGGCUGAUUAGCUAGUUGGUGGGGUAAAGGCCUACCAAGGCGACGAUCAGUAGCUGGUCUGAGAGGACGACCAGCCACACUGGGACUGAGACACGGCCCAGACUCCUACGGGAGGCAGCAGUGGGGAAUUUUGGACAAUGGGCGAAAGCCUGAUCCAGCAAUGCCGCGUGUGUGAAGAAGGCCUUCGGGUUGUAAAGCACUUUUGUCCGGAAAGAAAUCCUUGGCCCUAAUACGGUCGGGGGAUGACGGUACCGGAAGAAUAAGCACCGGCUAACUACGUG
rnacentral:rRNA from 1 species